CCAGACUCCUACGGGAGGCAGCAGUGGGGGAUAUUGCACAAUGGGCGCAAGCCUGAUGCAGCGACGCCGCGUGAGCGAAGAAGUAUUUCGGUAUGUAAAGCUCUAUCAGCAGGGAAGAAAAUGACGGUACCUGACUAAGAAGCUCCGGCUAAAUACGUGCCAGCAGCCGCGGUAAUACGUAUGGAGCAAGCGUUAUCCGGAAUUACUGGGUGUAAAGGGAGCGUAGACGGCCAGACAAGUCAGAAGUGAAAGCCCAGGGCUCAACCCUGGGACUGCUUUUGAAACUGCCGGGCUGGAGUGCAGGAGAGGUAAGCGGAAUUCCUAGUGUAGCGGUGAAAUGCGUAGAUAUUAGGAGGAACACCAGUGGCGAAGGCGGCUUGCUGGACUGUAACUGACGUUGAGGCUCGAAAGCGUGGGGAGCAAACAGGAUUAGAUACCCCCGUA
rnacentral:rRNA from 1 species